rnacentral:lncRNA from 1 species
CCAAAGCAUUCCCUCCUAACAGAAACUUAGAGUUUUUUCAUUUCAUGGUUCCAUAUUAGGUCCAAGAUGGCAGCAUCUGCAUUUCAGGAUGCAGGAGGAAGGAAGGAUGAAGAAGAAGAAACAACACAUCCUGUGUUACGUCUUAAGGAGCUGGACUGCUCAUUUUUUUGAGGAACCCCUCUGAGAGAGGAACAGUUUGGGCCACUGGACUCCAGGUAAUUUGCUCUUGCUCUUAUUAUUAUAACAAUUGA